GUCUUGAUCCGAAGUCAUAAUGCAAAUGACUCUCCUCAGAUGCCUGCUCAGCGGCUGAAAACCUCAAACUCUCAUGCAUCGAAACGGAACCAAAGGAGGGUUCAUAAGACCAAGCCACUUGUCGAGACGAGCCCCCACCCUGAGUCUCGGCCCCUCAACGACCUCCUUGACCCCUUCAUCCCUCUCCCCUUGACCCCCUUUCAUAACUAUUCAUUACAAUAAACCACUAUAAGAUCAAA